AACGCUAGCGGCAGGCUUAAUACAUGCAAGUCGAGGGGCAUCAAGGUACACGAAAGUGUAUUGUUGGCGACCGGCGGACGGGUGAGUAAUAGGUAGGUAACCUACCUCAUACUGAGGCAUAGCUGGGAGAAAUUCCAGGUAAUUCCUCAUGAGGUUAUAUGACACAUGUGAUAUAAUCAAAGGUAUCGCAAGGUACUGGUAUGAGAUGGGCUUACUGACCAUUAGCUAGUUGGUGAGAUAAGAGCUCACCAAGGCGAAGAUGGUUAGGGGUUUUGAGAGAGAGAUCCCCCACAUUGGAACUGAGAUACGGUCUAGACUCCUACGGGAGGCAGCAGUAGGGAAUAUUGGGCAAUGGGCGGAAGCCUGACCCAGCCAUGCCGCGUGAAGGAAGACGGCCUUAUGGGUUGUAAACUUCUUUACUAUGCGACUAACUAGAUUUACGAGAUAAUUCUAUAGAAUGUAGCAUAGCAAAAAGCACCGGCUAACUCCGUG
rnacentral:rRNA from 1 species